CCCGGGCCUUGUACACACCGCCCGUCACACCAUGGGAGUUGGUUUACCUUAAGACGGUGUGCUAACCCGCAAGGGAGGCAGCCGCCUAAAGUGUGAUCGGUAAUUGGGGUG
rnacentral:rRNA from 1 species